rnacentral:rRNA from 1 species
UNUGACUUGAGUGCAGAAGGGGAGAGUGGAAUUCCAUGUGUAGCGGUGAAAUGCGUAGAUAUAUGGAGGAACACCAGUGGCGAAAGCGGCUCUCUGGUCUGUCACUGACGCUGAGGCUCGAAAGCGUGGGUAGCGAACAGGAUUAGAUACCCUGGUAGUNCACGCCGUAAACGAUGAGUGCUAGGUGUUAGGCCCUUUCCGGGGCUUAGUGCCGGAGCUAACGCAAUAAGCACUCCGCCUGGGGAGUACGACCGCAAGGUUGAAACUCAAAGGAAUUGACGGGGGCCCGCACAAGCGGUGGAGCAUGUGGUUUAAUUCGAAGCAACGCGAAGAACCUUACCAGGUCUUGACAUCCCGAUGCUAUUCUUAGAGAUAGGAAGUUACUUCGGUACAUCGGAGACAGGUGGUGCAUGGUUGUCGUCAGCUCGUGUCGUGAGAUGUUGGGUUAAGUCCCGCAACGAGCGCAACCCUUAUUGUUAGUUGCCAUCAUUAAGUUGGGCACUCUAGCGAGACUGCCGGUAAUAAACCGGAGGAAGGUGGGGAUGACGUCAAAUCAUCAUGCCCCUUAUGACCUGGGCUACACACGUGCUACAAUGGUCGGUACAAUGAGUUGCGAGCCGGUGACGGCAAGCUAAUCUCUGAAAGCCGAUCUCAGUUCGGAUUGGAGGCUGCAACUCGCCUCCAUGAAGUCGGAAUCGCUAGUAAUCGCGGAUCAGCACGCCGCGGUGAAUACGUUCCCGGGCCUUGUACACACCGCCCGUCACACCACGAGAGUUUGUAACACCCGAAGUCGGUGAGGUAACCUUUUAGGGGCCAGCCGCCUAAGGUGGGANGGA